UGUAGUCUGCAACCCGACUACAUGAAGCUGGAAUCGCUAGUAAUCGCGGAUCAGAAUGCCGCGGUGAAUACGUUCCCGGGUCUUGUACACACCGCCCGUCACACCAUGGGAGUCGGAAAUGCCCGAAGUCUGUGACCCAACCUUAGGGAGGGAGCAGCCGAAGGCAGGUCGGAUGACUGGGGUGAAGUCGUAACAAGGUACC
rnacentral:rRNA from 1 species